GAUGAAGAACGCAGCGAAAUGCGAUAAGUAAUGUGAAUUGCAGAAUUCAGUGAAUCAUCGAAUCUUUGAACGCACCUUGCGCCCUUUGGCUAUUCUGAAGGGCAUGCCUGUUUGAGUAUCAUGAACACCUCAACUCUCAUGGUUCGCCAUGAUGAGCUUGGACUUUGGGGGUCUUGCUGGCCUACGGUCGGCUCCUCUCAAAUGAAUCAGCUUGCCAGUGUUUGGUAGAGUCGCAGGUGUGAUAACUAUCUACGCUUGUGGUUUUCUGCCAGAUAACCUUCAGUGAUGGAGGUUCGCUGGAGCUUAUAAAGGUCUCUCCCCAGUGAGGACAGCUUUUUGAACGUUUGAUCUCAAAUCAGGUAGGACUACCCGCUGAACUUAAGCAUAUCAAUAAGCGGAGGA
rnacentral:misc_RNA from 1 species